UACGUAGGGUGCGAGCGUUGUCCGGAAUUAUUGGGCGUAAAGAGCUUGUAGGUGGUUUGUCGCGUCUGCUGUGAAAAUCCGAGGCUCAACCUCGGACUUGCAGUGGGUACGGGCAGACUAGAGUGUGGUAGGGGGAGACUGGAAUUCCUGGUGUAGCGGUGAAAUGCGCAGAUAUCAGGAGGAACACCGAUGGCGAAGGCAGGUCUCUGGGCCACUACUGACGCUGAGAAGCGAAAGCAUGGGGGAGCGAACAGG
rnacentral:rRNA from 1 species